UGUCCCUGGCCUAGGUAGAGUGGCAUCUGGCUGGUGAUGCUCAUCUUGUAUCACUCAGGGACAAAGUAAACCCUUGUUUAUCCCAGCUUGGCUUCUGAUCAGUGCCCUUGCCUGGUUUAUGCCUUGGACACAUGA
rfam:Tupaia chinensis contig113699, whole genome shotgun sequence.